rnacentral:sRNA from 1 species
AUCGUCGUCAAUGAUCCAAUUGACGUAAUAGCUCAACCAUUUUUGUUUUUUGUUGCUCUCGG